GUUGAUGCUCUGAAUGUUUUGGACAAAGCAGCAAUGAAGUGAAAUGAAUUUCAAAAAAUGCUUUAUUGUUUGUUUGAAAGUUGUUAAUAAAGGGUUUUUGACAAAAGUUUCACAGCGACCAGCAUCACGGCAUACGUUGCAAUGCUCCCUGUCUCAAUUCUGCAAUUAUUUGCACACUUGUGUACUACACUCUCGAUCCCUACUGCUCACUUUCUCCAAGUGUACUUUGCUGAAGGCCGCAGGACGCAGAGUGAGUAUUGAGAUUGGGCCUUACUCUGUGGCAGCACUGUGGAAUAUGUUGCAUAUCUCCAUUAGGCAGCCGUCAUCUGUUGCCAUUUUUAAAAAGCUGCUGAAAACUUACUUUUACUUGACAGCUUUUAUUAUUCCUAGUUGACAUGGUAGUCCUGUUUUUAUCAUUUCUCAUGUCUCAUUUUUAUGCAUUGUUUUUUGAUGUGUUAUUGUGCUUUUACUUGACUGCUCAUAUAUUUUUUAUGUUUUUAUGCGUCUAUGUUCAGCACUUUGGGCAACAUUGUUGCAUUUAAAUGUGCUAUACAAAUAAACGUGAUUUGAUUUGAAAAUUUAUAAAAUCACAACGGUUAUUUAUACAAAUGGAAAUCCAACGUACCAAGUGUAAAUCUAAACUAAACUUGUUUGGUAAACCCUGUCAAAUCCCAUUUGUAGGACUUUUAAAGAAUUUGCUGGGGGGGCAGCAAAUCCCCCAGUGUGUCAAAAGAAAAAGCAAACACACUGUGCAUGUAUAUAUGCAUGCAAGAAAUAAUAAAGGAUUCUUGGCCCUAGUUGUCAUGUCCCUGGGAAGGAGUUUAACCCACGACAUGAAGAAUCAUCACACUAGUAAUCGCUUGCCCAAUCUCAAUACUUGCACUGCGCCCUGCGGUCUUCAGCAAAGUGCACUUGGAGAAAGAGGGCUGUGAGGCUUAGAGUGCGUAGUACACAAAUGUGCGAAUAAUUGCCAAAUUGGACAGGGAGCAUUGUGUCAUCGAUGCUGGUCGCUGUGAUACUUUUUUCUAAAACCUUUAUUGACAACUUUCAAACAAACAACCAAACAAUUAUAUGAAAUAAAUUUACAUUCAUUGUUGCUUUGUCUGAAAGUUUCCGAGCAUCAACUAACCAUCCUAAAAUGAACUACUUUCAGUAGAAAAUACAUGUUUUCAGAAAAGGAACUUGAGCCUUUUCUCCCGCAGGAAUGGAUUGUGGGUAAUACCCUUCACCUAAGUCCGCAUCAAUGCAGACUUGGGUGAAGUGCGGAUCAAGGGUGCAAACGUGGUGCGAUCAACUUCCGCGCCUGAGAAUCUGGACUGAAAUCGGGAUUGAAAAGGUUGCGCCUCUGCCCUCCAUGUGACAGAUCUGCGACCCGCGGGUGUGCCAAACCGUAGAGAGAGUUCCUUAUGGAUCACAGAACAAUGAUGAUCUGUUGCACCCCUAGUGGGUAGUACAUAAGAAACUGUCCAAAAUAGACGAUUCAGUAUCCAUUUUUAUAGCAAAGUGGGAGGUGGACGUAUCAUUCAGCUUUGACCAGAACUUCUGGUCUCAGACUUGUCUAAAAACCUUUAAGUUGACCAGGAACCCCAAUUCACAAUUAAUGUAAUACAAAUUUCUGCACAGAGUACAUUAUACAGGUCAUUGGAUGUUCAGAAAGGGUUCUGAUGAUGCUUGCUUAGUAUGAGGAUUGUUGUAAAGACACUGACACUAGUCAGUGACUUGAUGCAAUUUGUUGGGUUCCUUAUAUAGGAAACUUUUUUCUGAUUGGCUUAAUGAACUGACCUGUAUUGGAAUGUUUUUUAUGUGAUGUGCCUUGAGACGACUCUUGUCGUGAUUUGUUGCUUUAUAAAUAAACUUGAAAUUAAUUGAAUUGAAUGAUAAAAAGAGAGAUCAUAUCUCUCCUGUCUUAGCUUCUCUACAUUGGCUACCUGUUAAAUUCAGAAUAGAUUUUAAGAUCCUUCUUCUCACAUAUAAAGCUCUUAAUAAUCAAGCUCCAUCAUACAUCAGUAAUCUGAUUGUUCCAUACGUUCCUAACCGAGCACUUCGCUCUCAGACUGCAGGUUUACUGGUGGUUCCCAGAAUAUCUAAACUUAGGAUGGGAUCUUUUAGCUAUCAGGCUCCUCUCCUGUGGAACCUGCUCCCAGCUUUAGUCCGUGAGGCAGACACCUUGUCUACUUUUAAGAAUAGGUUUAAAACAUUUUUAUUUGAUAGGGCCUAUGGUUAAAAUCUGAUGUUAGCCUAGAUCUGGACCAGUGGGGGAGUAGAGGGAGGUGGAGUGUACAGUCGGUAAAGACGGCUCUCCCUUGCCCUGCCUCCAACAUGCCUCCAUCUAAAAGGCUAGGUUUCCAGAGUUAUCUCUGUAGUUAUGCUGCUAUAGGCUUAGACUGCUGGAGGACACACUGAACACUUUUACACUCUGUUACCUUCUUCUCCCACUACUCUCUAAGUGCAUUAUUUCCUGUUUUUUGAGCUGUUAACUUUAUUUUAUCACUAAGUGCUACACUGGUGUUCUGCUGAGCUGUGAUAGCCUCCUGGAUGGGGGCAUCAGCCACUGCUGACAACCACUAGACAUUCUCCUUUUCCUGAUAAUACCUUCUUAUUUUCUCUAACAUAGAAGUAGUACGACUAUUUCACCAGCUUAUUGUGUGUGUGUGUGCUGUAGCAGUCACAAGCAUGCCCCUCCUGCCACAUCUGUUUGUUGUUGUGUUCCCAGCAGAGGUUUUAUCUGAAGUAUCUCGGAGCUAAGUGCAUUACUGCGGCCCAUCUCCAUGCAGCAGAUAAGCAGCCUGUGCUGCUUACAGAACAAUCAGAUUUGCAUCAAGGUCUCAGGGCACUUUUAUAGACUGUCCUAGGUUCCCAGUGGAGUAAUAGUGCCUUUCAAAAGUAUUACACAUUUUGACACCUUUAAACACAAACAUAGAUGUUUUAUUGUGAUUUUUUGUGAUAGACCAACACAAAGUAGGACACUGAUGCAUGGUUUUCAAAAAUGUAAGCAAAUAAAAAUCUAAAAAGUCUGGAGUUCAACCCCGUUGCAUCAAUAUUUGGUAGAGCCACCUUUGGCUGCAACAGCUGCAAGUCUUUAGGGUGUGUUUCUAGCGUUGAACAUCUUAAAUGUACAUCAGAGACUGAUAUUUUUACCCAUUCUUCUCCUACAAACAGGGUGGUCAGCAGUGCUACUUUUCCUUUGCAUUUAGACCCAAAAGUUCUACACCCCGUGUCUAACGAGCGAUGGCUCCGCCAUCUUGGAUGGAUUGAACCCCCCCCCCCCCCCCCCCUUGACAAAGGCAUUGAAUUGUCAGCAUGUAAAUCUACCAUAACUCGCAGAAUUCUGAACCGAUUUUGAUGCAUUUUCCCCCCUGCAAACUUCACACAUGUAGCUCUGACACAGGAACGUGUUUUAGCAUUUUCAAUAUUAGUGGGUUUGCUGUGGGUACUUAUGUGACUCUUGUCCAGAGCUUAGUGUCAAAACUUAUAGAAAAAAGGAUCAAAAUCUAAAAAUCUGUCAAACAAUGACAAUCAAAAUAAUAAAAACUGUACAUACAACAGGUGUGAGAUCUAUGGCAGGUAUGUUUAAAAAAACACACUUAAUACAUGAUAGAGAAGCAGAAAUAACUACUCAGCCGAUUUCAUAAACAAUAUGUACAAUAUAAUUCUUAUAGAUAACAAUAGAAGUUUUUGUGUAAUUCACAUACAUAGAGUGUCAAUAUCAUUCAGAGAGAAGGUGAGAGAGAACAACUAGAACAAAGUCUGGUUGACAAGAACACGACAAACCAUCCAUCAGAACUGGCUGCUGGUGAUGUUCUGGUUCUGUUGGGUUUUUGUCUCACUCUCUUCCUGCAGAUCUAGAAGCUGCUUCUUGUUCAUCCUUUGUUGUUAAUUUUUGUGAACUCUCCCUCAUCUCUUCUUUUCCUUUCCCACGUUCUCUUUCAUUUCCGUCGUCGUGUCCUUUGGGAUUAAAAACAACCAAAAGCAUCUCUAAUAAAGUUUACAUAUCAGGUGGAGGAUUACAGCUGAAUCUGUAACACUCUACCUGUGAGAGUAAAACUGAAGCUUGUUUUCGCUACUCAGACGUCAGUUCUGGUUGCUUUACAGCCAGACAGGACACGGGGGAGAGAGAGAGAAAAGGACUGACUGCUUAAAGGAGUUAAUUUUAUUCGUUUUGUCUUAAUUUAUCUGUUACUUGUGUUGAGAAGUUUUUAAAAUAGUAAUUGAAAGCUUUCCAUGAGCUAAAACCCCUGACAGAGGACUGCUUUGUAGAACUUUUAUCUGGAGCUCCUCUUCUGCAGUAAGAGAGGUGAGAUUGGCCAUGUGGGGCUGUCUUCUCUUCAGAACCACCGACUUGACCAAUAACAUCACGUCUGAUGGCUGUGGCGUCAGCAUGAGUGCUGCACAUCUGUGUUGAGCCUGGCCUAAGAAGACCAGGCUCAUCAACCACCAACCACAGCCUCCUGUAAAAGAAUAGAAACAUAUUUAAAGAGCAAGUCACCCCCUACAAGAAACUUACUUCACUCCCUCUUCAUGUUUGAAAAAUGCAACAAAUGCUGUUGCCUAGCAGACCGAGAGGGCGGAGCUGCUAACAAAUACACACACACACAGGCUCACAACAGCAUUGUGACAUCAUAAUGUACCAGUUUACAUCAUAGCAUACCUCUUAGCCAAUAGCGGUGGCAGAUUUAAAUUAGAAUACAGUGCAGAGUUUUUACCUGACAGCGGCACAACACUGACAGUUUUAGGCAGAAUAUUUCAAUUUUAACUAAGAUGCACUGAAGUAUCAAAUUAUUGACGACACGUGUCUACAGCACAAUUAGUUCCACAUUUAUAUAGUUUAUCAGCAAGAAAAAGUUGAUUUGGGGGUGACUUGCUCUUUAAAUGUUCAUUAUAGAAAUGAAGUAAAAAUGGCAUCCUGUGGUAAAAAGUGGUUACUGCAACCACUUUAAACAACGCCGGAAGUUUUUGCCAGCUGUCGUCAAAUUACAGCUGUGGGUGCUGCAGAAUUGGCUAACAGGAGACGGCUCAGGCAUCCCGUUCACUGCUGCUGUUAUGGUUUUUGUCUGCCGGAAGCUCGACCGAUCUAAGAUGGUGACCGUAUUUCCUGUGCCCGAGCUGCCAGUAGGGGGUCUAUCAAUAUAUGUGUCAGUGCCUACAUGGCUCCUGGCAAACAGGACUUUUUAUGCCUUUUUGUCAGCACUCUUCCAUGUAGGCCAGACUCGUGGAGGACACGACUUACAUUAGUCCUGUGGACAGAUUGUCCCACCUGAGCUGUGGAUUUCUGCAGCUCUUCCAGACGGACCAUGGUCCUCUUAGAAGCUUCUCUGACCAAAGCUCUCCUUGCUCGAGCUGUUCGGUUAGAUGGACGGCUGUGUCUUGGUAGGACUGCAGUUGUUGCGUACUUUUCCAUGUUUGGAUGAAGGACUAAACUGUGCUUCUUGAGAUGUUCAAAGCUUGGGAUAUUUUUAUAGCCCAACCCUGCAGCUUUGACCUAUACCUGCCAGAGAACAGCUGUAUUUGUGAUGAGUCUAACUCAUCACAGGUGAACGCUACUAUCUAAUGAGGUUCCAUCUGAAAGCAGUUGAUAGCUCUGGAUUUUGUCUAGGGGUGUCAGAGGACAAGGAGCUGAGUACAAACGCUCGCCACACUUUUCAAAUUUUUAACAGCUUCAAUUGUGAAAACCAUCACUUUCUUUCCACUUCACAAUUAUGUGAAACUUUGUGUUGGUCUAUCACAGAAAAUCUCAACGAAAAAAUGUAAAUUUGUGUUUGUGUCAAGGCGUGAACACUUUUGCAAGGCACUGUAGCAUAAGGUUGAAUUUAUGUGGCAUUUAUUUCCUGCCUUUUCCAGGUGGUUGCUAUGUUACUUUGCCUCAUUCACAUCAACACCUUUUAUUGCUACGACUGAGGGCAAACAAGAGGGCCCUUUGUGUACUGGCGCUGUAAUUUCCCUCAAGAGAUGGAGAGUGUUGGUUGGUUGACGAGUGAAUGUGAAGUUAAUGAAAGUGUUUCACUUUCUGGUUUGACUCAUGUAAUCCUGAUGUUUGAAAAAGCAGCAGGGGCCUAAACCUGAAGCUGUUCUGCAUGGGGAUGUAAAUAAAAAGAUCCAAUUUUAAUACAUUUCUGUCAGAAACGGCAAGUUAAAGCUACCAAAAUGAAAAGGCAAAGACCGAUAACCGAUUUUGUAAUUUAGUGACCAUCACAUUGUAGCGUCCAGAAAUGGUCAGUUUUUCAUCUACAGCAGGGGAGUCAAACUCAAACUCACAAGGGGCCGAAAUGAAACUCUGGGACGAAGUCGCGGGACAAACUUAAUAUUUUUGAAAAAGUGACGGCAAAGUUGCACAUUUUCUUUAUCAACAUGUAUGCAACUUUGAACCUUUUAAUUUGGAAACACACUUAUUUCUGCAUUAACACUGAAUGUGGAAUAACCAAAUUACACACGAGCAAGUCAGUUUUAAAUAAAAGGCAUCAGUGGUAUUCAUUACUUGUGGUAUAAUCAACAUUUUAUAAAUCUAUUCAGGGUUUGUGUUUUCUUGUUUAUUAAUUUUUCUUAUUUUUUAUUCUCCUUUUUUUCUCCUGUAAUAAGUGUCAUCGCUGCUGUGACGUCUAGCUUUCCCCACUGAGGAACAAUAAAGGGAUUUUCUAUUCUAUUCAUCUAUCUGCAGCCUUUCCACUUCCUGUUUACUGUAGGUUAAAUCUUUUCUCACGGGCCAACAACAAAAUAAAAAUAUCAUUUUAUCUUAAAUGAAAAUGCAACAUCUCACCUGUUAACUUUCAUGUUUUGGAGCAGAAAAAGAGCAUAAAACCAACAUAUUUAAAGCUCAGUUUGCUCCACUGGUUUACUGUGAUGCUCACCUGUUCCAGCCAGAUACCUGCAUCAUGGGGUUGAUCUGAGCUGAGGAGGAGACUCCUGUUGUUUUGUUCAUCUUCAUCAUAAUAAUGACAACAUUAGAUGACAACAGGUGCUCACAUAGGUUUGUGCUGAUGAACAUGUCUGAGCAGCUUGACCGCGUUGUUGUGUGUCGGGGAGGAAACACGACAGCAACCACAGAGUCAUGCUGGUUUGAGCGUGUCGCUGCUCGCUGGAGUUAUAUCAGCUCUGUCUGGACGUUAGUUGGAAAACUUUCUCUUUCAGUCGUGAACACAUUACUGAGCGGCUAGAAUUUCCGUUUCUGGGCUUCAAUGUCAGAAAAUAGCUGAGUGAACUCGGCGCUGAGUGAGAGGAGUGUAGUUUGUCCGAGACAGCGGGGCUGCAGAGACCGGCAGCAGGCGCUGGAAAAAACACAAUGGAGGGGGCGCGUCGGCUCCGCGCUGACGCCGCAAAGCAUCAUGGGAGUGGAAGUCUUUGCGGUAAAAUCGGCCAGCGGGCCAGUUUUAAUAUAUUUUUGAUAUUUAUCUCGCGGGCCACAUAAAAAUACUCCGCGGGCUGCAUCUGGCCUGCGGGCCUUGUGUCUGACACGUGAUCUACAGUUUGACCUCUUCAGUAUCCGGUCAUAUGGAGACAUAAGUCUUAACUGGUGCCUUUAAUCUGCAAGAAAGAUUCGACGCUGCAUGUUUACACCCAGAUUGUUAACAUCAUGUUCCCUUCCCAAGGUUCUUCUACGCCGAGUUGCUCUUAUCUAUCCCUUGUUUCACAGAAGAAGAAUGAACAUUUAUAAUAAUGAACUGUUAUAAAUAAUGAAGUGUUAAAAUAAUAAUGAAAAGAACAAUAUAGUUAAAUGGAAUACUUAAAUAAUCAUAUAAUGAAUGGACAAUGUGGUUAAAUGAAAUGUUUUGAUUAAUUUGUGCUUAGAUUAAUAAGGAUGAAAUGAAAUAUAUGACCCAUACAUUUAUUCAGCGUACGUGACCGGACAGCUCACACACUCAUACACAUGACGAUGACAAGGUUAAAGUAAUCUCAUGACACAUUGUUUUCUGAUCCACAAAUCAGAGCUCCUGUAUCUGAGCAGGGUGUGUUCUGAGGUUUGUUUGUUAACACCUCUUAACCUCUUUUGACCUGAUUGGCCACAAUCAUAAUAUGAGAAUUAUUAAAACAAUCACUUCUCGAGUUGAUUCAGUGCUUUUUGAGCAGAGCUUCGGACCGGCCAGCCGGAGCAAAACUCUUGAACCACCGCAUCUUUUGACAAGCUGUCAAAACCUGUUGCAUGCUGCCGCUGAAACAGCAAAACGGUUCCUUCAGAACAAAGCUGACACAGCCAAGACUCCUUCAGAGUCCAUCCGUUCGAGACGCAAAACAAGUCCACCUGUUUGACGACUCUGGACUGACCUGGUCAUACUUCGGUUUUUCUACGAACUUCGGUACCUUGGGGUAACCCGACCUCCUCGACAUCUUGGAUCCAAAAGAGAGUCUCCGAAAAGGGUGCGUAGACACGACAAGAUUGCGUCUGAUGCUGUUUUACAAACCAUCCCUCCUAGUUUAUAGCAGACCAAAUUCAAUCACACUCAGAACUCAGUUUCUUCCAGAUAUAAGGUUCUGAUAAACACCACAAUCACACAUCACAUUACGCUACAUCAUACACUCAUCACCUCAUAGCUUCCUCGUUGUCUUGUUUUCUAAUUUGUUCAGAAAAUAAAUGUCUUUUUAUAUACCUGACUUUGUCUGAAUUAAUAUGAAGUGUACUUACUGUCAUGAUGAGGGGAAGGUGUCUGACCCACGGCAUGCAGAAUCAUGCACAGAGAUCGGAUGUUAUAAGAAACAAGGUUAAUUAUAGAAAUGUAAACAUAAAGGGCAGUAGGAGAAUCCAGCUGGGACUCCGGGGAGGAAUCUAGAGCCAGGGAGGGAGAGUUAGCGGAAGUGGAUGACCAGGAAUAUUGAGGUAAAGGUCGGGACUUACGGUUCGUGAUCCAGGGGAAACAUAAGAGGGGAGAGUAGCUUGGUCUGGGGAGGUCCGGGAGGCGUGGGGAAACAGAGACACACACUUGCCGGUUAACAGGAGAUUGGGGUUUCAGGUUGCUGGCAGACUGGAGGAGCUGAGCACGGGAGCAAGGACUGUCACGGUCCGUGGUGAGCUUCCUGCACGUAACCUAUCUUCUCUGAGCAUUGUUUUCAGGUGGGCGUGUCUGAGAGUCUCCAGCUGCAGCUAAUCCUGUCAUUACGGUCCAGGGGAUUUAAGGAGCAGUGUGACACUUCAUUUCGCCGGAUGAUUACUCUGUUUUGGGUUUCUCUCCACACUCCACCACCUCCAUAACCAAUUCGGACUCCUGCAAUCCAGAUCACGCUGUCUCCUCCCCUGGCCGCUCGCUCUCAGCCGCUCACCUGCCUUCACCAAACCGUUGCUCCUACCUCCUCUCUGGACCAACAGUUCCAUCACCUUCUGGAGCCUUCCUGCUCACCCGGACCUGACCUAAUCCCUCCGGAAGAUCUCACCACUAGCUGCAAUCAAAUUCCAUCCUGGAAUCUUGCUGCCAGCCUGCCCGUCGUCUGUUCCCGUUCCUAUCAUUGUUCUUCAGUAGAUAAUAAAAUCGUUUUACUUACUUGCCGGUUCCUGUGUGGUGAUUCUGCAUGUCGUGGGCCAAAAGACUGCCGCCCACCAUGACAAGGACAGGAUCCGGUAAGGUGGGUUGUCAAGGAGGAGUGGACGGCCAGGUACCAGCUGGGAGACAGUGGAACGGGUCCGGUGGGGUUGCAGGUACGUGGUGGAAGGUGGUGGUGGAAAUUUGGAGAGAAGGCAGGUUGUAAAAUCAAGCCGGCUCGGAACAAACAUACAAAAACUUGGAAUUCAGGCUAGAAGCUAGACUCAGAAGAUCUCUGAUACAGAUACUCGAAAACAGGCUCAGAGACAUAGAUACCCAAGUUGAGCUAAUCAUCCAGCCAAGUGAAGAUGUCUCCCAGCAGCUUAUAUGUCCCCGGCCCGCUGAUGAGCAGAUGGACUGCAGCUGGUCCACUCCCUGACACGCCCACCUGCAGGAGAAGCUCAGAGAAUGUUUAGACUGAGAGGAGGACUCCCCCCAGACCAUGACACUUAUGGUCCCUGAAUAAACAAAGAAUCCUAAUUCUUCUGGUUAAACCCUUUAAGACCAAUCAGGUUGGAUUUCCAUAUUUAUAUCGAAAUUCACAUCUCAUUGGCCAAAUGUAGUGUAGUAUGUUGAGCUUAAAAAGCACCCAAAAUACAUACGUAGAUUACACGAAGAGUGAGACAUGCACAUGUCGCACCCCGCUGCUCUGUCCUGUAUUUAACUUACUCUGACUGCUGAGGUGUCUUUCUGGGUUCAGUGAUGUCUGGUAGAGAGCUCGCAGGUUUACAUAAGCUGGAUGAAUCACUUAUUCCUCUGAAUACCCAAUGCACCAUUAGCAGUAUUGAUUAACUAUAAAUAAUCACAGCUCACCUUUUAAUUAGUCUACAGAUAAUCAGAUGCUGAUAUGAAGAUCAACAUGCUUCAAAACGGAUGAACUUGUAGAUCUGUUGUGUGCAUCUGUACCACACAAUGUGAACUUGAAAGUUUGAUUGUUGGCUUGGUGGUCUGUUAGCAUCUCUCAGUGUUGGCGAACUGCGCCACAGUUUGCUCUCGAGCAGAGAUUCACAUUUUCAGAGUUGGGAGGUUCUUUCACAGGGCUGGCAGCUCUCAUACACGUAUUGCACGUAUCGCACUACCUGCACACGCUCUCACGCCACAUCUCCAGCUUCUCAUUCAUAAAGAGCAAUAGUCCACCUGACACAAGCACAUAUUUUACAUAUUUAUCAGUUUUAACAGCUGUCUCUUUUUUAGCAGUGAACUUCCUCCAGCAGACUCACUAACAUCACUCCUGAGGGCUGGAAAAAGCGCCCCUAAACUGCCAAUCAUGUUAGUUUUCUCAAGAGAACUGGAGACUGUCACCAGAUUUAUUAUCUCAAGGGAUCUGGUCGAUAGUGGCCCUGCUUCAGGAAACAGCUAGCUAGCAUGCUAGCCGGUGUUGGUUCUCUUUUACCCUUACUCUCUCACUCCCUGGGUGUUUCUCAAUGUCAAGGCGCCUGGCCUCGCAAGGCGAUGUCUUGCGAGGCCAGAUGCCUUGCUUACGAGGACACCGUCCUUCCUUGGUCAAAGAAAACAGUAAAAUUGAACAGACUUACAUCCCGUGCCCUUACCAAAAAGAAGUACACUGAAGUAUACUUGAAGUAUACUAAAAAUGAAUACAGUAUACUUCCAAGUUUACUUUCAAUGUACUUAUCAGAAGUAUAGUUAUCCGAGUACAUUUUUUAAAUACUACUAAGUAUACUUUAAUACAUACUUACAUUAAAGUUUACUUACAUUUAGACUAUACUUGUACUUGACUCUAUCAGAAGUA